GCGGGAAUAGCUCAGUUGGUAGAGCGUCAGCCUUCCAAGCUGAGGGUCGCGGGUUCGAGUCCCGUUUCCCGCU
rnacentral:tRNA from 1 species